UACGUAGGGGGCUAGCGUUGUCCGGAAUCAUUGGGCGUAAAGCGCGCGUAGGCGGCCCGGUAAGUCCGCUGUAAAAGUCAAAGGCUCAACCUUUGAAUGUCAGUGGAUACUGCCGGGCUAGAGUCCGGAAGAGGAGAAUGGAAUUCCUGGUGUAGCGGUGAAAUGCGCAGAUAUCAGGAAGAACACCCGUGGCGAAGGCGGUUCUCUGGGACGGUACUGACGCUGAGACGCGAAAGCGUGGGGAGCGAACAGG
rnacentral:rRNA from 1 species